ensembl:lncRNA
GAUAUACAGACUAGUGAAUAAGUAUAUAGUGUAUAAAAGUAUAUAAUGUAUCCUCCUGAGACCCACCCAUUCACUGUUGUCCUCUGUGGUGCACAUUUGUUUUUGGUCCCUUACUCUCAGCUUGCACAUGCAACUGCAUUGGAUUCAGCUGCACCUCACUGAGGACAUCCUGGGCUUUGCAGACAUGUGACAUACGUGGGGGUGUGACUUAGAACAAGUUCAUUUCCUGGUAUUUCUAAAUGUCGUCCAUCAGCACAUUUUAUGGAAAGAGAAAUGAUAAGUAUGUAAUCUUGUAAUAAGCAGUUUUGUGAGUAGUUUGAUUAAUGCCAGUGAGGGAACAUCUUAGGAGUUAGUGUAGUGAGUUUUCAGAGCAAGUAUAAUAAUUAUUUGACCUAAAACAACAUGUAUUCAUGGAUGUCCUCUGUGGAUGACACAAGGAUGUGCUUUCUAUUUGUUUCCUUUUAAAGGAGGCAGUCCUUCUCUCACAGCCCAGGAUGGUGCAUGAUGAGCGGACUAAAUUCAUCCAUGAAACACUGGCGCUGUGUCUUCAGCACCAGGCUGAUCAGCACCAGGCUGCUCACCCUUCUCACACAGCCCAGGGUGGUGCAUGGAGACUGGACUAAAUUCAUCCGCAGCAAACACGAGUCCUGAUCCAACAGCAACAAUGGAGACAUGAAAGCUGAAUAUCUGGCCCACAUGUGAACACAGAUGUGCACAGGUGAGUGUGAAGUUCUCCUGAUGAUGCUCAGCUUUGGGUUUGGUUGUUAAAAGGUUGUGAGGUCACAUGGUGUCGCCUUUUACUUAAGUAGUACUACUACUAAACGUAUCUGUGCAGUACAAGUAUGUGUGAUUAGUUUUUUAUUCUUUAAUUGUUUGUGACCUCUCCACGUACAAUAAAUCAUUAUUGUUUAAUGUGUGUGAUCUCUGAAGGCUCCUGCUACAUGUCUUCAUAUUUUUAUUAUGAUUAUUUGUUUACUGAUAUUUUAUAUCAAAAUCCUUUGAGAAGAAAUUAAUCAAAAUCCUUAAUUAUACAAAAUAAGCAAAGUUCUUUUAAAAUACAAUAAAUUCAAAGUAAAAAAAAACCCUGAAUCAAACUAAAACAUUCUGCAAAAUCCUUAAAGUUAUAAAAGUUAUAGAUAUAGUUAUAGUCACUUCCCAAGAUGCAACAGUGUGUUCAUUCCCAGGAAUGUCUCCACAGACAGUUUGUAAUACUGCAAAUACAAACGCUUUCAUCAGUGGACCACAGGCUCCAUCACCAUUGUGUUACUUCAUCCAGAUAGAUAGUGACGUGAAAGACUUUUAUAUAAAUUAAAAUCUUCAACAUUACUUUAAAUUCAAAAUUAAGCUAAAUUCUUAUAAAACAAAUUCCUCAAAUACAAAAUAAACAAAAUCUUUUAUGAAACAAGCAAAAUCCUUUAUAAUAAAAAAAUAAGCAUAAUCACUGGUGACAAAGUACAAAAAUAAGUAAAUUAUUCAAAUACAAAAAUAAGCAAAAUUCUUAAUUAAAAAAAGCCACUUGUGUAAUAAUCAAAUCUCAUAAUUACAAUAUGAAGCAAAAUCGUUAAAAGUUCUCGAUUCCAAAUUCAGAGCAGAAGUUCUCCACACGGUUCUCACCGUGACGGGGACUGAGCCGGCAGCUAGCUGCUAACGUUGCUAACAGCCAAAACAAUGUAAACAACAGCAACAUUGCUGACAGAGUCAACAGUGUGAACCUUGGGGGGGCGGGGGAGGCACCACGUUUCUGCGACAACGCCGUUGGUCGAUACGCCGUUAUCAGCAGUAACCAUAUGAGCGCAGUGGAGAGCGGCGGCCAUUAGCUAACAACACAUGCACUGAAUGCUCGUGCAGCCGGGCCGGCCCCCCUACAAAGACUGGGAUUACUCCACUAUAUCUUUACACAGCAAAUAGAUAUGUGACGCUGUAUUAAUGCUCUGAAUACUGAACUGACAACAUUCAAUGAAAUAAUGAAUUCUUAAUUACAAAAAUAAGUAAAAUUAUUAUGAAGUUAGCUAAAUACUUUAAAUACAAAAAACAAGAUGUUAAAAGUCUCAAUGUUACGUUUUAUUUUUUCUCUCAUUUGUUUUAUUCAGAUUAUUAUUUAAGAUACAUUUGGUCCUGCUGCUAAAAUCUCCUUCACAGCAAAAACUGAACCAAGUCGACCACAAGCGAGUGCUGAAGCGAGUCAUGAAGUUCAUAUCUUGCUAACGAGAAGAAAC